rnacentral:sRNA from 1 species
UUCCUACCUAAGCUGAUAUCCUUGAGA